NNNNNNNNNNNNNNNNNNNNNNNNNNNNNNNNNNNNNNNNNNNNNNNNNNNNNNNNNNNNNNNCCUCUAGUGAAGAGUGCUCCUGUGGCCCCAAUGAGGAGGCGUCCCCUGGUAGUGAUGUUCCUCAGGUACUAUGGGGGAGCGUGGCUGUAUUUGCCGGGAAGCAGCAGCAAGACGAUUGUGACUGUCUUGCAUUUUGGCCCAGACUUUCCUAAGACCAUGGUUCUUGCCUGAGAAAUGCAGCUGUGUGUUCACAGGUGUGCUGCAGCCUUUGCCUGCGGGGUGCUCUUCAUCACCCUGCUUUUAUGAGAUCCCAGCUAAGGCCUUCUCUCUGAGCUUCUGGAACAUGGAGGGGAUAACGGAAAUGCACAAGGAUCUCCGUUACCCAAGCUAUGUCCACCUCAACCCUAGGGGUGAGUCCUGGUUUUUACUGGUGCCCUUUGGGGCCCUGGCUCUAGACUUCAGCAAGUUAUUUACAUGAUAAUCAAUUCCUUGGUGCACUCUGUCUCCUAUUACCAUCCUGUGGAUCCCUGCACACUUAGAGAAUUCUAAGCGCAAUUUCAGUUAUCUGAUCGCCAGUAUAAAUCAGCCAAAUAUGAAGAAUCGGCAAAUGCAAGUCUAAUAAAACAGCACCUUUUAAAAUACUGGCCUUACUACCAAAACAGUGAAGACUCUGCUGCUCUUUUGCCCACUGGGGGCUCCUUUUCAAGGACCCCAACUGAUUCCCUUUUCAUUGCAUUUCACUAUUUGUAUGGCUCGAAAACACUAUGAAUCCAUAGCUGCUAAUAAGAGGAGUCAACUGGUGCCAUCUUCUGUCCUCCCAUGGUCUCAUGUUUCCUACAAGUCCGGGAGAUUUCUAGAGCUGGGAAGGUAUUUGUGGAACUUGGACAUGGCUUUGAACCGAGGCGGCUUGUGGUCAGCACCCGUCGGGCCACAGGGAAGAGCAGGAAGGUACACAGUGGAGGCGAAGUUCACUUCUCUGCUGGAAAAGCCGCUCACUGCGAGUUUACCAGGACCGAGAGCAAGAGAGGGAUCGGAGAUGAAGAAGGGAUGCAGAUGUGUUCUGCACACAGCUGGUGCAGAACUCAGCAGAAUGAGAUAGCCCAAUGAGAAAACUCCUGUGCGGGACCGGAAACCCGGCCAUCCCGACGGGCUUUGAUGGUAACCCUGCAGCCACGAGCGUACUGCCAACAUUCAUGCAAACGGAGGGGAUGGAGUCAGACUGGAUGGGAGGGACGCAGCCAGCGUGUGACUGUCUCGAGUCCUGGUUUGGAUCCAGACAUAAGGCUGGGAGAAGACACACAGAGGACGGUGCUCGGGACGGAAGCCCGGCAAGGUAGCUCUCGGGGAGACCUGCCUGGGCCGUGACCUAGAACCAGCAACCCGGAUGUCACCAGGCACCUUCCUAAGGAGUUUCUCCUCCCGAAAAGACCACUGCUUCGCCUGGUUCCCCAGCCCCUCCCCACCCCUGCUCUUUGCAGCUUGGAUGCCUGGCCCCACAACACUGGUGUUUGCACCCAUCCUCUUUUAAGGGAGGACUGUUUCUGAAAAUACAAGGUCAAUUCCCUCAACCGACUAUAACCACGAAUUUGGCAGUGAUUUAAGACCUUCAAAGAAAAUGGUAGUUUCUACUUGAUUUUUAAAAAUGAAAACAGCCCUAGACCCCAGCUCUCAGGUGUCCAAAUCCUCUGCCCCCAUGAAAUGAUUAUUCCAGUUUCUAGGCUAUAUUUACAAUAUAAUGAUGUUAUUUUCCUUCUUCCUGUAGCCCUGCGGGUUCUUUCUUGGCUCCAUCUAUCCGGGUCUUGAUUAGAAAUCCAUGCUAACCAACUUUCGGCGGGUUACUGGAAGCCCGGCGUGACAGACAAAACAAACGAAGUCUCUCUCUGUUUAGUCAGCAGAACCCGCAUUCUACUCGUGCCAGCGAAGGCCUUGGGGGUUUGGGGAAUUUGAAAAAUUCAGGGGCUUAGCUUACAGAUGCAACAUCCAAAUGGCUCCCAGUUGAAAGCAGGGAGUGGGUCUGCUGCCCAUGUUCCUGGCACAGUCACGUCAUCGUUAGGAUUUGUUGAGGGCAUUUUCCCUGCGCUAUUUUCCUCUUCCCACCUCAAGCAAAGCAACUACCAUUUAACCUUGUGGCCAGAGGCACUGGCAACGUGAAGCAGAGCUAUUAAGGCUUGGGAGCAAAGACACCAAAGAAUAGUGGGUAGAUCAGGAGGGCAGUGAAGUUCCCCACCAGGCAGCCUCCAUCCACCCUCUGUUGGGAGGCCACGCCGGAAGAGAAGCAGCCCUGGCUGGGUCAGGACAGCAGACGGAGUGGCUCCUACCCCCUCCUACCCCCCCUCCUAUCCCCAGAAAUGAUGGCAAAACCAUUUUCAAAGAAAUCCUCAAGCAUGUCAAGAAAACAAGGAGCACUCUUUGUAUACCAGAAACCAUGAGCAAUCAUAAAACACGAAAGGCAGACUUUUAUCCUUCUUGAAAAGGGAAACCACAAUUCAAAAUGCACAGAGAAGAAAGCUGCGAGAGGAGAAAGGGGAUUCAGAGGUGCCCAACCAGGGACACCAGCCAUGCAGACAGGAGGGAACCCAAUGCUGUGGCCCCAUCUGCACAGAGAGGUUUCGUCAGCCAGGAGGACUGGAAGCCCAACAGUUGGCCUUGUGACCCAAAACCAAGAGUCACAAAACUCAACUCUAAAAAGAACUUACACAUGAGGAAACAGAGUUACUACAGCAGACAGAAUAACAUUUUUAGAAUAUAANNNNNNNNNNNNNNNNNNNNNNNNNNNNNNNNNNNNNNNNNNNNNNNNNNNNNNNNNNNNNN
ensembl:lincRNA